rnacentral:rRNA from 1 species
UACGUAGGGUGCAAGCGUUGUCCGGAAUUAUUGGGCGUAAAGAGCUCGUAGGCGGUCUGUUGCGUCCGCUGUGAAAGCCCGGGGCUUAACCCCGGGUCUGCAGUGGAUACGGGCAGGCUAGAGGUAGGUAGGGGAGAAUGGAAUUCCCGGUGUAGUGGUGAAAUGCGUAGAUAUCGGGAGGAACACCAGUGGCGAAGGCGGCUUUCUGGCCUGUUCUUGACGCUGAGGCGCGAAAGCUAGGGUAGCAAACGGG